CCCGGAGAAGGAUUUCUCGCCCCUGGCGCCCAGCGUGGUGCGGGCCCUGAACGACAAACUCUACGAGAAGCGGAAGGUGGCGGCGCUGGAGAUCGAGAAGCCAACCUGCUGGCUGAUAUCUCGCUACUGACAGUGACCAGAGAAACCAGGGCUCAGCUGCUAAAUGCUGGCGGCUUUCAGCCCCGUCUAUAUGCAGCUCAGCUAUGUGCUGCUUUGGUCCCAGCUCCAGUGGUUGCUGAACGGCAUGGGACAGUUUCCUACAAUGGAGGAACUAACAAGGCUGCAAUCCCUUGGAAUCUGAGGCAGGGGAUUAACAAGUACCUUUUGGAAACUUUCGAGAGCCUCUCUCUGGAGGAUUCCCUGCAGGUCUCGAUGUCUAUUGACACCUUGCUUGGCUGUGCAGAUUAGCUUCAAGCGGCAAUGUCCAGCUCACAGAAAACACUACCUGCCUCCCACUUUUCGAUUCCCUACACAAGCCACAGCAACUUACCCGCCUUCUCAUCUGCUUCCUGCUCCCCGUUGAGCACGUCUGGAGUGGAGAAAAGUUCCUGGCUGCCUGCCCCACUGGGCGACCCCACUGGGAGCUCCACAUCCUCUUCUAGCUCCACUUCUUCAUCCACAAUUUCAGCCUCCAGGUUGGUGCGAGAAUUUGUGGCUCAGAACAACACAGCACAGAUCAAGCAUGUCAUCCAGAUCCUGUCACAAGAGUUCGCACUCUCGCAGCACCCUCACAGCAGGAAAGGGGGGCUCAUCGGCCUGGCAGCCUGCUCCAUUGCUCUCGGGAAGGAUUCUGGGCUGUACCUGAAGGAGCUGAUUGAGCCGGUGCUGACGUGCUUUAACGAUGCUGACAGCCGACUGCGGUACUAUGCCUGCGAGGCCCUAUAUAAUAUCGUCAAGGUGGCCAGGGGCUCUGUCCUCCCACACUUCAACGUGCUGUUUGAUGGCCUGAGUAAGCUUGCCGCUGAUCCAGACCCAAAUGUGAAAAGCGGCUCUGAACUACUGGACCGACUUCUCAAGGACAUUGUGACUGAGAGUAACAAGUUUGACCUCGUGGGUUUCAUCCCGCUGCUGCGGGAGAGGAUUUAUUCCAACAACCAGUAUGCCCGGCAGUUCAUCAUAUCCUGGAUCCUGGUGCUAGAGUCAGUGCCUGACAUUAAUCUCUUGGAUUACCUGCCGGAGAUCCUGGAUGGGCUCUUCCAGAUCCUGGGAGACAACAGCAAAGAGAUCCGGAAAAUGUGCGAGGUGGCCCUUGGGGAGUUCCUCAAAGAGAUCAAGAAGAAUCCUUCCAGCGUCAAGUUUGCAGAAAUGGCCAAUAUUCUAGUGAUUCACUGUCAGGCUUCUGAUGAUCUGAUUCAGCUGACAGCCAUGUGCUGGAUGAGGGAAUUCAUCCAACUGGCUGGCCGGGUGAUGCUGCCCUACUCCUCAGGGAUCCUGACUGCCGUUCUGCCGUGCCUAUCCUACGAUGACCGGAAGAAGAGCAUCAAAGAGGUAGCUAAUGUGUGUAACCAGAGCCUGAUGAAGCUGGUCAUCCCAGAAGAUGACGAAACAGAUGAGGGCAAGCAGUCCCUGAGCCUCCAGAUAGAGCCCAAGGAAGAGUCCCUCUCCCAGCAAGAGGUGACUUCCAGCGGUUGCCUGGAGGCCUCCAGUGAUUCCAACCUCAGCAGCGCCAGUGUCUUCAAUGUAAGCAACACUGAGCGGGUCCCGGUGACCCUUAACCUCGAUGGGAUAGUGCAGGUGUUGGACUGUCACCUUCACGACACAGCCAUCGGGAUGAUGACCAGAAUUGCAGUCCUGAAAUGGCUCUAUCACUUGUACAUCAAGACUCCGCGGAAGAUGUUCCGGCAUACAGACAGCCUCUUUCCCAUUUUGCUACGGACAUUGUCGGAUGAGUCAGACGAGGUUAUCCUGAAGGACCUAGAAGUUUUGGCUGAGAUCGCCUCCUCUCCUGCAGGUCAAACGGAAGAUCAGGGGCCAUGUGAUGGCUCCGAUACGCGAUCUGGCCAAUCGGAGUUACACGUUCCCGUCGUCAAAGCCAGCCAGCUGAGCUCCUCUGGUAUGAAAGGCAUGGAGUGCUCCCCCUCCACCCCCACCAUGAACUCCUACUUCUACAAAUUCAUGAUCAACCUCCUCAAGAGAUUCAGCAGUGAGCGGAAGCUGCUGGAGACCAGAGGAGCAUUCAUCAUCAGGCAGCUUUGUCUGCUUCUCAAUGCUGAAAACAUCUUCCACUCCAUGGCAGACAUCCUGCUGCGGGAAGAGGACCUCAAGUUUGCCUCGACUAUGGUCCACACUCUCAACACAAUACUGCUGACUUCCUCCGAGCUCUUCCAGCUGCGAAACCAGCUCAAGGACCUGAAGACCCCGGAGAGUCGUAACCUGUUCUGCUGUCUCUAUCGCUCCUGGUGCCACAACCCUGUGACGACCGUGUCCCUCUGCUUCCUCACCCAGAACUACAAACAUGCUUACGAUCUCAUCCAGAAGUUCGGGGACCUGGAGGUCACAGUGGAUUUCCUCACGGAGGUAGACAAGCUGGUGCAGCUCAUUGAGUGUCCAAUUUUCACGUAUCUGCGCCUGCAGCUGCUGGACGUGAAGAAUAACCCCUACCUGAUCAAGGCUCUGUACGGACUGCUGAUGCUUCUGCCUCAGAGCAGUGCCUUCCAGCUCCUCUCUCACCGGCUGCAGUGCGUACCCAACCCCGAGCUCCUGCAGACCACGCAUUUGGCAUCCGGGAUGGAAAAUUUCACUUGCAGGGUCGCCAUGGAAACAAGCAGAGCCCUGGAGCAGAUUUACACUGAAUGGAGACCGGCGCAGCUCCCCUCAGCUGCCCCAGCUUGUUAGGAACAGCCACCGGGAGCCUACCCAGGGGCUGCCUGCACCAGGCUUGCCUGGUGUGCGCCAGCACCGGGCCUCCUACCCUGGGAGCUGCUUCAGCCCCUUUCACUCUAGCCGGCCGCUAGCGCACACACCAGUGCUAGCAGCCCUGCGAGUCUGGUGGGCUACUGGGCCUGCGCUACUCUGGCCUUUGAGAACCAUCGAUCGUCUUUGCCUGCUCUGCCGUCUCGCCAGCAGUCGCCUGCCUGGGGUGCAUCUGCUGCUCUUGGCCCCUACGCUGCUGGGGAGCAGCACAGGCUACGUGAUCGUAAUGGCCCCUUCUGGCUUUAACUCUACGGACUGGCUGGGACACUGCUUAGGGGGCAGGGACCUAGAAAUCAGCUGUGCAGACUGGUCCCAGCCCAGCAUGCCCGUCUACUGUAUACCCAGCCAGCUCUGCAUCUUGCUGCAGGCAGCGAGCUCUCCAGCUGAGCACACAGCACAGCACGGGAGCUGACCCAGUGACCUAGUGGCUGGGGCCCUCCAACUUGGAGCCAGAGAUCAGGACUUGUCUUGGUGCUUCACUCUUCAGGCUGGCCCAGGGCACCCAGGUUCUGAUCCUUGCUAGACAUCUGUCCACGAUGCUAUGAAAUCUCUGGAGCAGAAUGCAGCUAAGGCUGAAGGUCGCCAACCAUGCAAGACCUCCUGGGAGACGAAAGCUGUGGCAUGCCAGGGUCUCCAGCCUGUGCUGUUAAUUCUUCGCUACCAUAAAACCGAUGCCAGGCAUAAAAUGUCUCAGUGGACAGCACUAAGACCACCCUGGGCUUCAAGAAAGCAACCACCACCAACAUCGACUACCUGGAGCUACUGCAGCACUUUGAGCGAGUCCAGAAC